GAUGAACGCUGGCGGCGUGCCUAAUACAUGCCAGUCGAGCGAACAGAUAAGGAGCUUGCUCCUUUGACGUUAGCGGCGGACGGGUGAGUAACACGUGGGUAACCUACCUAUAAGACUGGGAUAACUUCGGGAAACCGGAGCUAAUGCCGGAUAACAUUUGGAACCGCAUGGUUCUAAAGUGAAAGAUGGUUUUGCUAUCACUUAUAGAUGGACCCGCGCCGUAUUAGCUAGUUGGUAAGGUAACGGCUUACCAAGGCGACGAUACGUAGCCGACCUGAGAGGGUGAUCGGCCACACUGGAACUGAGACACGGUCCAGACUCCUACGGGAGGCAGCAGUAGGGAAUCUUCCGCAAUAGGCGAAAGCCUGACGGAGCAACGCCGCGUGAGUGAUGAAGGGUUUCGGCUCGUAAAACUCUGUUAUUAGGGAAGAACAAAUGUGUAAGUAACUGUGCACGUCUUGACGGUACCUAAUCAGAAAGCCACGGCUAACUACGUG
rnacentral:rRNA from 1 species